CCUACGGGAGGCAGCAGUGGGGGAUUUUGCGCAGUGGGCUAACGCCUGACGCAGCAACGCCGCGUGGAGGAUGAAGGUCUUUGGAUUGUAAACUCCUGUCAGCAGGGAAAAAGGGAUGAGUGCUAAUACCAUUCAGACUUGAUUGUACCUGCAGAGGAAGCCCCGGCUAACUCUGUGCCAGCAGCCGCGGUAAU
rnacentral:rRNA from 1 species